UGCCAGCCGCCGCGGUAAUACGAAGGGUGCUAGCGUUGUCCGGAUUUAUUGGGCGUAAAGGGCUCGUAGGCGGCCUGCCAAGUCCCACGUGAAAGACCAGGGCUCAACCCUGGGGACGCGAGGGAAACUGGCAAGCUGGAAUCUUGGAGGGGGUACUGGAAUUCCUAGUGUAGGGGUGAAAUCUGUUGAUAUUAGGGAGAACACCGGAGGCGAAGGCGAGUACCUGGCCAAAGAUUGACGCUGAUGAGCGAAAGCGUAGGGAGCGAACAGGAUUAGAUA
rnacentral:rRNA from 1 species